AGUCCUCUGGCACUCUCCCUGACUCCAGUGAUUCCUGAAAGAUCAGCAUCAUUGCCUCUACAAUCUCUUCAGCUGUUGCCUUUUUGAACUCUGGGGUGUAGUCCAUCUGUUCCAGUUGGAAACAGACCUACGAAAUGUUCGGGGAUGUUUCACUGCACAAAGACACUGGAAGGUCCCUUCCUUUUCUGUGGGACCAAACCAAAGUGUUCCACAGCCGACAAGAAUUCACUUUGAUUCUCCUCAGUGUUCCUGUUAUUCUGUGGGCUGCUCGGAAGCAUCCAGCUGGAUGACCCUCCAAUUCUAAGUGUCUUGAGAUUAUGGACCACCCGACUGAGAUAUGCACCUCACUAGUUUCUUGCUCAAUGCCUCCAAAAAUCAGAAAAAUCUUUGGUUUGCUGCUGAUUUAAAGUUUCUGGUAAAUUCUUUAUCAUUGUGUAAUAAAAUUCCUUCUGUGAUUGUCUGUCUGUUUUUGAAAGAAAAAGUAUCAAAUAAACCAUAAAGCAGCUUGUCUGUCUUAAAUUGGGGAUUAAACAUGUUGUAACAGUAUGUUAGCCUUGUUUCAUUGCUAUAUUAAAAAGAAACUUAGUUUGCAAAGUCAUGUCUUUGGUAACUUGUGCAGAGUGCCUCAAAACCAGAAAUGAAAUGUCUGAAAAGUGUUAGUUCAUCACCUAAAUAUAGUUUCCAGUAAUAAACUAAGUUCAG